CAUUUUAUCCUUCCUAAACUUUAGAAACAAUUAGAAUUUCAUUAUAGUGGAAGGAAGCUGAGAGUGAAUGCUUGCUCAGUACUAUAUGGAGUAUACUUUUCAUAUUAUCGGUGGUAAAAUUAAAGUCAUGAAUCCUGAGUCCUUUUCGGAGGAGAGACUUUAGGGGUUAUUAUACAGCUGAGUAACCCUGGCUCUGGACAAGAGAAUUAUUUGAGCCUGUGGACACCAAACACAUUAACGAUGAUCUUUCCUGCCUGGGUUAUAUCUGCAGAGCAGCCGACACUCAUUCUUAUAAAUGUGUUUAUGUUUGAGAUUGGAUGUAGUGGAGGAUGGAAAGAUAUAAAAUGAGAGAAGAUCUGUAGAAGAGACUCAAUAGUUGUAAAGGAUGGAAGAGUGCAAAGCAGCUUGGAACUCACAACAAAGGAAACCGGGACGAAAAAAAUUAGAUAAAACAACUGUGACCAUGGGAUCUGCUCCUUGUGCCUGUCGAACAAAGGUGCUAAAUGGAUUUUCUCAUUUCAAAGGAAAGCCAAUUCUUCCUCCCAACCCUGCAGCCCAUGAUUGUAGAACAUCCAGACACCAUUUUUUUUUUUUUUUUUUUUUUUUUUAAGUUCAGGGAACCUUGGUAUUCUUUUCAACACCAGGACUGGUUGGUUCCUUUAUGAGUUUCAUAAAGGAAAGAAACCUCUCCCAGAGCUGCUUAGGCUGGUGAUUCUCUGUCUCAACCAGGCCUUUCUGGAUAAUUUCCCUCAUGUUAAAACCCCGCAGCAGACUGGAGAAAGAGGAUUCUCCAAAUGCUUGGCUGGGAUAGUGUUGCUGCUAAGUUCCUGCUUCUCCUGAAGUGUUAUCCUGAGUGUAACAACUUUCUGUUCUCUCUCCUGAGAAGAGAUAUGCCUGAGUUCUUGCAGUACCCUGGGACAUAAUUCAUUAUGGCCAGAAUGGAUUUGCUGUACAUAGGAGUCAUACUUCUAACCUGCCAUGUCCAUAGGUAUGUGAGGAUCUAGGAUGAAGCUGAGAGAAUUCUAUCCUGCUGGUUCAUACUCAGAAGGUCUCUAAGCCCACUGAUGACAGGAAAAUCUUCAGUGGUUCCAGAGACAAGCUGCUGGAAAUCCUGCACAUUUAUCUUCUAGAAGGAAGUGAGCUGAGUAGGAUAGUGGUACCUUCAGAAGGUACCUACCCCAAAACUUGAAAGAACUCCAAAGUAAACCAUGUCCAUUUCUGGGACCCUAAAGUGACUCAUGAAAGUCAGGGUCCACUUGCUUAAGGUUAGGUGAUUUCAAGCCUUGAGAUUCUAAGGGGAGAGUGAAGGUGGGAAAGGGGAUGGUGAAUAGAUUGUGAGAACUUAUCAAAUAAUAGGACGUCUCUUUAAUUCCA